UGGCACCCACUUCUCGGAAGCCCUUUUACGCGGUCGGUCACGUGGUUGAAAUUUCACCCCAUCAAGGUUAGCUUUAAGUGGGUCCCGAGAUCUCGAGAUGACGAAUCACUUUAAAAUGUUGUUGAAUAUUAACGCAUCUGAUCGAUUGCAGUCUUUAAAAAAGAAAAGAAAAUGCAAUUCCAGAAGUUUGCACUGUCAUCAUACUUUUAACUUUAUUUUAACUAGAUAAACGGUUUUAAGUUCUCUUCAUUUAGUUAAGUUUUUCUCCUAAUCCACAGGUAUAGAGCUCAUUCCGAAGGUAGGGAAUGCUCCAAGGAAUGCUCUAAUUUCAAAAAAGUUGCACUUGGACAAAGCAAUAUGGUAACAUCAAAUGGUAACAGAGUCGCAUUUUCUCACGCUCAUUUCUAAUGACUUAUUGCAGAUUUCACUCAGAAUUUAACAAAUAUUCCCCAAUUUUACCCAUGUUGACUUGAAACAAAAUUUAGAGAAGAAGAUCGACUUGUUACUCUGUGGAUGUACAUUACAAUUUUAUUAUUUAACGUUGCACAUCACGUCUCCUCCUCAGUUAAAUAUCAAAAAUCGCAAAACAAUAGUGUCAUCAGAUUCUAUAAAUUUUCAUUCAUGUCUGUAGUACUGCAAGCUCUACUAGGUUUCUUUUAAUUUUGUAAUUAUUUUGUUUUAUUUAUAUGUUUCAUUUCAAUAACAACAUAGUAGGCUAAAAUCCCAAUUCGAUGAAGCACUCCGUGAUGGCAGUCCCGAUGUCACCAGACGAGCUCAUUGUGAAUCCAACAACUAUUUGUUUCAACGAGAUGCCCUCCGAGAAGAUCUCCCGGUCCUUCCUGUAGACUACGUUGGGCACGCAGCGCUGGAAACGAUUGCUGCACCUACAUUUGAGAACCACUUUAGCACUGGAAUCUCAUCUUUUUUCCCCUUAUAAAAUGAAACAAUAUGGCCAAGCCAACCUACUGGCUGGAAGUUCCUCUCGACGAAGCAUUCCGGAUGACAAGCCAGAUGUCGAGGUUGUACACCGUCGGAGUAUUUUGAACGAUGGUGCUGAUGAUGAUAGUUCCGCAUCCGACAACGUUUUUGUUAGACGCAGUCCUGAAACUCAACGAAGUCCUUCAUGUAGACUACGCUGGGGACGAAGCCCUAACUCACAAUGUUGAAUGAAUACAACGAUUGAAGAUACUAAUGCAGCAUUUUAAAUAAAAAUAUAUUUCCAUUAAAAUAAAUUUUGAUUUCAAAUAUA